UACGUAGGUGGCAAGCGUUGUCCGGAUUUACUGGGCGUAAAGAGCGCGCAGGCGGCCGAGUAAGUCGAAUGUGAAAGCCCCCGGCUCAACUGGGGAAGGUCAUUCGAUACUGUUCGGCUCGAAGAUAGGAGAGGGAAGCGGAAUUUCAGGUGUAGUGGUGAAAUGCGUAGAUAUCUGAAGGAACACCAGUGGCGAAGGCGGCUUUCUGGCCUAUUCUUGACGCUGAGGCGCGAAAGCCAGGGGAGCGAACGGG
rnacentral:rRNA from 1 species